GCAAAGCGUGCGGAUUCGGACGUAGAGAUACCAAGGCAGAAGAAAAAGGAAAGCAAGCUCAGUUCAUCUGCCAAGCGCACAGCAGUGGAAUCUGACGGAGAGACACCGAGGGCUAAGAAAAAGCUGGUUCCAAAGAGAAAGCGUUCUGCGGUAAAGAAACCCGGCGAGGAGUGGCGCGU